AUUAUGAGCAGCAUGGUAGUGAGGCUCUAAUUUGUAGUGACAGUGGAGGAUAUUGCUGAACCAGAGGAAGAGAAACGUUAGUUCUAUGAGAGGGAGGACAAAAUUCUUUGUUUCGAAGAGAAAAACUGACCAUAGAUGUUUUGGAGAGCUGAAUUUGUAGCCACAGAGGAGUAAUUGGAAGUCAUGAAACAAUGGUGGCAAAUUCCAUGGUUACUCAUGUAAAUUAUUAAUUUCAGACAAAGGAGCUGGAAGCAUUAAUUAGACGAUUAAGAAGUUCAACAAAGACCAGUGAAAAAUUUAUGUGUUCGUGAUAGAGAUAAAGAUGAAUGUCGCACUAAAUGGUGAACUUUUUAUUCUUUUGUCAAGCAAUACUCUUUUUUCUCUGACUUCUUCUAUUGAAAUCUUUGAAAUUACUUUAUCUGUUUCAUUAUCUAAUAUGAUUUUUUAUGUUUUUGAGCAGGUCCCAACAAAACUCUCCUAAAAACCAACAUUGUUCAUAAGUUCGACCGAAUUUGAAAGUUUUAAAGGACUCACUUAGCUGCGUUAUUUGUUUCUCUUUUUCCUACAUCUUUUUUCUUUUAAAUUUUGUGAUUUCAUGCCCGACAUUUAAAUCCACGGACCAACUACCAGCAAUAAUGCAUGACACAUUUAAGUUGCAAUACUUUUUUAUGUAGCGCAUGUACGGAGUAUGUUAUAAGUUUGAGUCUGAUAAGGUAAAAAGUGCUAAAUAAUUUGCAUAACAAUUUUAUUUGUUUGGAAUUUUUUCUUUAAAUUUUUUGUUAUCUUUUCAUUUUUUUCAUUGUGUGGUAAAGCACGACUUAUUAGCCCUUUGAAUUUUUCAUUUAUGCAGACAAGAUGUUAAUGCACAUAAAGUCCCUUAAUUCGAUAGCCAUCAUAAGCUGGUUACAAUGUAAUUUGACUAUACUUUCAACAAGGGUGGACAGAAGCGUCACAAAAAUGUCUUGUCAGCGAGUGAAUUUUUUGAAAGUUUUUAUUUAGGCUUUUUAUUGUUUUGCCAUUGUGAUUUUCUUUAUUUUUACUUCUUUUUCUAAAUAAAAAAUGUAUGUGGUGGUUUAAUUAGACUCUUUGGUCUUUGGAUAGUUAAGUUUUACGACGUAGCUUUCGAUCAAUUUUUUUUGUUUAUUUAUAAUUUAUAUUAGAAAUUUACUAUUUUUGUUUAUGACCGCGAAGCGCGGUUAAGUUGACUAGUUAUACCAAAAGUGAGAAGACUCUAAAUCAAAAGUUGAAUUACGAAAAUGCCCACUAAACGUUAAACGACAUUCUUGUCCCUCAUCUAAACGCUACUCCUACAUUGGUUUUACGCCAAAUACUAAAUUUACCAACCAAUAAAUGAUAAAUGAAUCAAUUAAAUGAGAAAUAAAUCAUUUAAAUGGCACAUGUAUCUGCCAAAACAUUUAUUAUAGUCCGCUUAAUUUCCUCUAAAUUUUGUUUUUUGUUUUCUAUUUAAAAAACCUAAAAGUCACUCGUAUUUAUGUAUUUGCUUUUGAAACACCCCUUUCUCUUCCUCUUCUUAGGGCUAUAUUUCUAUUUCCAAUUAAAGUUAUUUGAACUACUGCUAUAUGUGAACGUGUGAGUUGAAACAUGAAGGUGGCAAAUUAAUGGGAUCAUAUUAAAUGGUCAAAUUUUGGCAACACUGAACGUGUGAAUCUAUAUCUAUAUCUAUAUAUAAUAUAAAACUAGGCAAUAAAGAGAUGAUGUGGCACCUCUCUUUGGCCAAGGAUCAUAUUUAUCUUUUUUUCUCAAUUUUUUGGUCAUUUUCCCUACAUUUCUAUUUAUUACUUAUUAUUGUACAAGAAUAAAUGUAUUAAUUACCACUCCUCUAUUCAUUGCUAUUAUUCUUUAAUGUUUAUACUUAUUUUUUAAUUUUUAUCCUAACAAAAAGCCACGGUUUUGAUUCGUUCAUUACUGGUUGGACUAGACCCCUUGCUUUCUCAAUUCCCAUAACGGUUAUACGUGGGUAACUGAUGGUGAGCAUAUUGACUUUUAAAUGCCUCAUUCAAGCAACCAAAAGAUCAUAAGCAUUCUCAAGUAUCUUAUUCAAUUUUGUUGAAGGUCGCGUGACUCCACUAAUUAGAAGACUAGAAGAGGGGGAGAUGGAUAAGAAGAAAAGACAAGGGCUGCUAAUUUUGUCAAAAAUUGCAGGGUUAAUUGUAUACGGUAAAAAUCGGAUAUAUGCUAGACCGGUGAGAUCGGUGACUGAGGGAAGAAAGAAACAAGUACGAGCAUGAAGAUUCUUUUGGGACCGGAGGAGUGUUUGAACCGAAGAAAGCGAAGAACAUCGUUUGAUCCGGUUUCUUCAUAGCCGAGUUGAUCGUGGCCGUUGGUCCGUUUGAUCAUAGCCGUUGGUCCGUUUGAUCGUGGCCGUUGGUCCGGGUGAUCCGUUACACAAUUGCCACGCGUCAAUACCGUUCUGCCACAUAGUACUACCAAUCGUACGGGUGUUAGACCGUACGACCAACCUUAUCCAUUUUAGGGUUUUUCUUUAUUCUUUAAGGCCUUAUGUUGUAUGAAGCCCAUGAGGCAAAACUAUAUAAUUACCCUACUUUUAGGGGUUGGCUUCUCAGAUCUAGAACAUAUUGUAAUAGCAAAAUAUACAACAUUCUCCUACUUAUUAUCUGA